rnacentral:tRNA from 1 species
UCCCUGGUGGUCCAGUGGUUAGGAUUCGGCGCUCUCACUGCCGUGGCCUGGGUUUGAUUCCCGGUCAGGGAC